UAGGGAAUCUUCCGCAAUGGACGAAAGUCUGACGGAGCAACGCCGCGUGUGUGAAGAAGGUCCUCGGAUCGUAAAGCACUGUUAUUAGAGAAGAACAUCCGGUAGAGUAACUGUUACCGGCCUGACGGUAUCUAACCAGAAAGCCACGGCUAACUACGUGCCAGCAGCCGCGGUAAUACGUAGGUGGCAAGCGUUGUCCGGAUUUAUUGGGCGUAAAGGGAGCGCAGGCGGUGAUUUAAGUCUGAUGUGAAAGCCCACGGCUCAACCGUGGAAGGUCAUUGGAAACUGGAUCACUUGAGUGCAGAAGAGGAAAGUGGAAUUCCAUGUGUAGCGGUGAAAUGCGUAGAUAUAUGGAGGAACACCAGUGGCGAAGGCGACUUUCUGGUCUGUAACUGACGCUGAGGCUCGAAAGCAUGGGGAGCAAACAG
rnacentral:rRNA from 1 species